rnacentral:tRNA from 1 species
UCCGCAGUAGCUCAGUGGUAGAGCUAUCGGCUGUUAACCGAUCGGUCGUAGGUUCGAGCCCUACCUGCGGAGCCA